rnacentral:tRNA from 1 species
GCAUUGGUGGUUCAGUACUAGAAUUCUUGCCUUCCAUGAGGGAGAUCCAGGUUCUAUUCCUGGCCAAUGCU